GCACAGGAGCCACCUUGCGCCGCCUCACC
rnacentral:sRNA from 1 species